GUGCUCGCUUCGGCAGCACAUACACUAAAACUGGAAUAAUACAGAGAUUAGCAUGGCCCCUGCGCAAGGAUGACACACAAAUUUGUAAAGCGUUCCAUAUUUUU
rnacentral:snRNA from 1 species